CUGAACCAGCCAAGUAGCGUGAAGGAUGACUGCCCUAUGGGUUGUAAACUUCUUUUAUAUGGGAAUAAAGUUUUCCACGUGUGGCUUUUUGUAUGUACCAUAUGAAUAAGGAUCGGCUAACUCCGUGCCAGCAGCCGCGGUAAUACGGAGGAUCCGAGCGUUAUCCGGA
rnacentral:rRNA from 1 species